GUGUCAGCAGCCGCGGUAAGACGAACCGUGCGAACGUUGUUCGGAAUCACUGGGCUUAAAGGGCGCGUAGGCGGCUCCGAAAGUCCGGGGUGAAAGCCCCCAGCUUAACUGGGGAAGUGCCUCGGAUACUGCGGAGCUCGAGGGAGGUAGGGGCGGAUGGAACUUCCGGUGGAGCGGUGAAAUGCGUUGAUAUCGGAAGGAACGCCGGUGGCGAAAGCGAUCCGCUGGCCCUCUACUGACGCUGAGGCGCGAAAGCCAGGGGAGCAAACGGGAUUAGAUACCCCCGUAGUCC
rnacentral:rRNA from 1 species